UACGUAGGGUGCGAGCGUUAAUCGGAAUUACUGGGCGUAAAGCGUGCGCAGGCGGUUCGUUGUGUCGGCGGUGAAAGCCCCGGGCUCAACCUGGGAAUGGCCGUUGAAACUGGCGAACUGGAGUGUGGCAGAGGGGGGUGGAAUUCCGCGUGUAGCAGUGAAAUGCGUAGAUAUGUGGAGGAACACCGAUGGCGAAGGCAGCCCCCUGGGCCGAUACUGACGCUCAUGCACGAAAGCGUGGGGAGCAAACAGG
rnacentral:rRNA from 1 species